GAUCAUGGCUCAGGGUGAACGCUGGCGGCGUGCCUAAGACAUGCAAGUCGAGCGGGGCAGGUUUAUACCUGUUCAGCGGCGGACGGGUGAGUAACGCGUGGGUGACCUACCCGGAAGAGGCGGACAACCUGGGGAAACCCAGGCUAAUCCGCCAUGUGGUCCUGUCCUGUGGGGCAGGACUAAAGGGGCGACCCGCUUCCGGAUGGGCCCGCGUCCCAUCAGCUAGUUGGUGGGGUAAAGGCCCACCAAGGCGACGACGGGUAGCCGGU
rnacentral:rRNA from 1 species